GCAAGGAGGGAGCUGCCGAAGGCAGGUUCGAUAACUGGGGUGAAGUCGUAACAAGGUAGCCGUAUCGGAAGGUGCGGCUGGAUCACCUCCUUUCUAAGGAA
rnacentral:rRNA from 1 species